UGGUGAAAUCUCUCGGCUUAACCCGGGAAACUGCCAAUGAUACUGCAAGUUCUUGAGUAUGCUCGAGGUAGGCGGAAUAUGUCAUGUAACGGUGAAAUGCAUAGAAUAUGACAUAGAACACCAAUAGCGAAGGCAGCUUACCAGAUCAUAACUGACACUGAGGGACGAAAGCGUGGGGAGCGAACAGGAUUAGAUACCCUGGUAGUCCACGCCGUAAACGAUGAUCACUAGACAUUGGCGACAUACUGUCGGUGUCAAAGCGAAAGUAUUAAGUGAUCCACCUGGGGAGUACGCCGGCAACGGUGAAACUCAAAGGAAUUGACGGGGGCCCGCACAAGCGGUGGAGCAUGUGGUUUAAUUCGAUGAUACGCGAGGAACCUUACCUGGGCUUAAAUGCAGAACGACCUCCCGAGAAAUCGGGAUUUCUUCGGACGGACUGCAAGGUGCUGCAUGGUUGUCGUCAGCUCGUGCCGUGAGGUGUCGGGUUAAGUCCCAUAACGAGCGCAACCCCUAUCGUUAGUUGCCAGCGGAUAAUGCCGGGGACUCUAACGAAACUGCCCGUGCAAGCGGAGAGGAAGGUGGGGAUGACGUCAAAUCAUCACGGCCCUUACGUCCAGGGCUACACACGUGCUACAAUGGCGCAUACAAAGGGCAGCUACCACGCGAGUGGAUGCUAAUCUCUAAAGUGCGUCUCAGUUCGGAUUGAAGUCUGCAACUCGACUUCAUGAAGCUGGAAUCGCUAGUAAUCGCGCAUCAGCCAUGGCGCGGUGAAUACGUUCCCGGGCCUUGUACACACCGCCCGUCAAGCCAUGGAAGC
rnacentral:rRNA from 1 species